UGGGGAAUUUUGGACAAUGGGCGAAAGCCUGAUCCAGCAAUGCCGCGUGUGUGAAGAAGGCCUUCGGGUUGUAAAGCACUUUUGUCCGGAAAGAAAUCCUUGGCUCUAAUACAGUCGGGGGAUGACGGUACCGGAAGAAUAAGCACCGGCUAACUACGUGCCAGCAGCCGCGGUAAUACGUAGGGUGCAAGCGUUAAUCGGAAUUACUGGGCGUAAAGCGUGCGCAGGCGGUUUGCUAAGACCGAUGUGAAAUCCCCGGGCUCAACCUGGGAACUGCAUUGGUGACUGGCAGGCUAGAGUAUGGCAGAGGGGGGUAGAAUUCCACGUGUAGCAGUGAAAUGCGUAGAGAUGUGGAGGAAUACGAUGGCGAAGGCAGCCCCCUGGGCCAAGUACUGACGCUCAUGCACGAAAGCGUGGGGAGCAAACAGGAUUAGAUACCCUGGUAGUCCACGCCCUAAACGAUGUCAACUAGUUGUUGGGGAUUCAUUUCCUUAGUAACGUAGCUAACGCGUGAAGUUGACCGCCUGGGGAGUACGGUCGCAAGAUUAAAACUCAAA
rnacentral:rRNA from 1 species